ACCCACCGACUCUCCCCUCGGUCCCCCAGUUCCAUCCUCUCCUCUCCCUCAACACCAAACCGGCCUCGCCGCCGAUCUCCACUCCCGCAAACUCAGCCCCAGAGCCCCGCCGGCGACCUCCUCCCCCACUCCUCGACUGCCCUGGCAACAUCCUCUACUUCAUACCCGCCGGCGACCUCCGCCUUCCACUCCACCCUCUCCUUCUCUCCAUGCUGAAACCCUAGAUGAACGCCAUGGCCACCUCUCUCUAGCGUCCCCUCUCUGUCUCCCGUGGCGGCACUCACCACUUCAACACCGUCGGCGACCACAACCAUGGCCUCCACCUCCCCUUCCCUCCUUGGUUGGAGAUCCACUCAAUUCCUCUCCCUCCCCCGGUUCCUCUCCAAUCCCGCCGCUGGCCGACUACCAACCCCACCGGCGACCUCCCUCCCUCCCUCCUGAGAUGUACAGAUGUGGCGAGACGGAUCGCCGGAUCCCCGCCGCGCCGGACCGGUGAGAUCUAGCUCCUUGCCGAUCCCAUGGCCUCCGCGGCGGCGCGAGUCCUCCUCCUCGUUCGCGCUGUCGCCUCCUUCCUCGCGGGGCGCACGGACGCCCUUCGGUCGCUGGGCGUCGGCGACGAGGCGGGGGCCGGGGCCGCCACGCAGGGGGACGACGCCGUGGACCUCAACCCCACCAGCUUGGACGCCUUCCUCACGGCCUCGCGGGAGCAGUUCGCCUUCAUCGAGUUCUUCGCCCACUGGUACUAGAGGCUGACCAGGUACUCCAUCGACAUCUCUAGCUCCCACAUGUCGCCCCUGGGCUGUAGCGCCCUCUCAUGGGCGAUCGGCAUCCUCCUGGUGGCCCCUCUCCAAUUAGUAUAGUGCUGCUAUAGUGUCGAGACAGCAUGCUAUUCAAAACUUUGAUAAUAUGUCAUGCACUGUAUCCUAAAUUUAUAUCUCCACAAUCAUGUGAAAAUAAAUAAACAUUGCUAUCUAUUUAAAAGUUAAUUCUGUUGGGCAGGGAGGAGCAAUGCUUGCAGCUAGGUAUCAAUUUCAUACUUGUCAGUAAAGCUGCUGCCACUUGUAAGGCACAUGCAUGAUGGGUGUCUUGCCGCAGUUGCAGCCAUGCUAAUCUUUUCCUAUGUGAGAUUAGAAUUUAAGUGCCAUCAUUCAUCUCUUGGUAUCUUGUUCUCUGUGAUAACUGUUCAUUGUUGAGUGCUAUAUAUAUACUCUAGUUGUCAUGCAGUGCUUGUUGUUCCAUAUUUUGUUGAUGCACCGAUAGCUGUUCAGAACUGUAGUAGUGUAGUUAGUUUUUUGAAUGAUUUGGUGUGCAUGGAACACUGAUUUUUCUUCAAGUCAUGAUUUUUCUCAACUGGUGCAUGUAUAUAUAUUUGGGUGCUAGUCAAUUAGAGAAUGUCUGUGAUACCAUGUCUGUACUAUGUGCUAGUGUAGCUGUACUGAUGCUUUGGGUUUAAUCCGUGCAGCAGAGGACAAGGGCUUCAUGGCCAAUCAAGGCGCAUGGUGCUCGCAAGCGAUGAAAGGAGGUUGUUCGACAUAGGCACGGAGGAGGAGGAUGGGCACGGACGGAGGAGGACAGAGCACCUCUCCUCUUCCAGGUUAGUGAGCAGCAUCAGGAGGAGGAGCUCAAGCACGACCACCAAGAGGCACCACCGCAGCAGCAGAUGAGUCCCUCGAUGAAGCGGCAGCAUCUCCUGGGUGACGGUGGUGGCGGCGCCUGUGUGCGGCUUCGACUACAACCUCCUCUCGGGAUCUCGAGGCCUAAGAAAGUUGGAAGUGCGAAGACGUGAAGAAAAGCGCGAAGCCGUUAAGUGCUACUCAGCAAAGAGUUGUCUGUUCUAUUUGACUGUAAUAUUGUAAUAGCUGGUAUACCUAGGUUGUAAUAGUCUACAGAAAUUGUAGUACACUAAUCUAGUGUCAUUUGACGAGUUUCACAUGUUCUCUUAUUUGUUUGGAAUAUUUGAUUAUGAAUGUGAUUUGAUAGUGUGUGAGAUGUAA